GCUUAUUCCUCUCAUGCAGACAGAGAGAAAAAAAAGCUCUGACGUCUUGUCCACAAGAGAUUCAGAACACGGUGGUACGACAGUAAAAGAAAAUCCUCUGAACUACAGAACUUCCUGCCCAACAAACAGGUGCUUUUAACUUGGAGCCAGAACUGUGACCUAAGAGACAAAGGGAAUAAUACUAUUAAAUGCAUUCGUUCUGAACAAUGAGGAUUUAGUAUAACAUUCCAGGAGAACGGACUGAGAAGAGAAUUUGUCUACGGAACUGAAAACACUUGUGGCUCGGUGUCUGACGGGGGUCUCCUGUGUUCACCCAUCAUUUAUACAUUUAAACAUUUACUGUUUAAAUGUACGUAUGUUAUACUUUGUUGUUAUCGCUGUAGACACAGGAGAUAUCA